rnacentral:rRNA from 1 species
UACAGAGGUCUCAAGCGUUGUUCGGAUUCAUUGGGCGUAAAGGGUGCGUAGGCGGCGCGGUAAGUCGGGUGUGAAAUCUCGGAGCUUAACUCCGAAACUGCAUUCGAUACUGCCGUGCUUGAGGACUGGAGAGGAGACGUGGGAAUUUACGGUGUAGCGGUGAAAUGCGUAGAUAUCGUAAGGAAGACCAGUGGCGAAGGCGGGUCUCUGGACG